rnacentral:rRNA from 1 species
AACGAACGCUGGCGGCAUGCCUAACACAUGCAAGUCGAACGUAGGCUUCGGCCUUAGUGGCGCACGGGUGCGUAACGCGUGGGAAUCUGCCCUUUGGUUCGGAAUAACAGCUGGAAACGGCUGCUAAUACCGGAUGAUGACGAAAGUCCAAAGAUUUAUCGCCAGAGGAUGAGCCCGCGUUGGAUUAGGUAGUUGGUGGGGUAAAGGCCUACCAAGCCGACGAUCCAUAGCUGGUCUGAGAGGAUGAUCAGCCACACUGGGACUGAGACACGGCCCAGACUCCUACGGGAGGCAGCAGUGGGGAAUAUUGGACAAUGGGCGCAAGCCUGAUCCAGCAAUGCCGCGUGAGUGAUGAAGGCCCUAGGGUUGUAAAGCUCUUUUACCCGGGAAGAUAAUGACUGUACCGGGAGAAUAAGCCCCGGCUAACUCCGU